UGGGGAAUAUUGCACAAUGGGCGAAAGCCUGAUGCAGCAACGCCGCGUGAGUGAUGAAGGCCUUCGGGUUGUAAAGCUCUGUCUUUUGGGACGAUAAUGACGGUACCAAAGGAGGAAGCCACGGCUAACUACGUGCCAGCAGCCGCGGUAAUACGUAGGUGGCAAGCGUUGUCCGGAUUUACUGGGCGUAAAGGAUGCGUAGGCGGAUUUUUAAGUGAGAUGUGAAAACCCUAAGCUUAACUUGGGGACUGCAUUUCAUACUGGAAAUCUAGAGUGCGGGAGAGGAGAAUGGAAUUCCUAGUGUAGCGGUGAAAUGCGUAGAGAUUAGGAAGAACACCAGUGGCGAAGGCGAUUCUCUGGACCGUAACUGACGCUGAGGCAUGAAAGCGUGGGUAGCAAACAGGAUUAGAUACCCUGGUAGUCCACGCCGUAAACGAUGAGUACUAGGUGUAGGAGGUAUCGACCCCUUCUGUGCCGCAGUUAACACAAUAAGUACUCCGCCUGGAAGUACGAUCGCAAGAUUAAACUUAAAUGAAUUGACGGGGUCAUAGCUG
rnacentral:rRNA from 1 species